CAUCAUCAUAAACUUGACCAACAUAAACAAAAUCUGGUUGUGUUUUAGUAGGUCAAUAGUAAUUCUUACCUUAGCCAUGCUAACUCUGGUCUUUCCUCUCGUUGUCAGGUCCAUUGCUAGUGAAGUCCCAUCAACACUGACCACCUGUUUAACAUACUGCCAUGUGUGCAUAUAAAAACGGUGUCCUGGUAGCAGUACCCAUACCGGUACCACCGAUAAGUCUUCUUCAGGCUUGAAGUCCGGUGACCACCUUUGUAGCCACAUUUGUUGUCCCUCAAUUUCAAUAACCUCUUCUGCCAGACAAAAUUAAAGUCGUAUUCAUUGGUGCAAUCCAAGAAAACACUGUAGUUAUCAUAAACCCCAAUCUUGACCGAGCCUUUAAUAGAAAUUAGUUAUUUGAAUUUUGACCUAAUUCCGUCAACUUAGGGCUUAGGUUUGAGGAAUAUUCCCACUAUUUUGAGCCUACACUGAGCCGCCAUGAUGCCAUAGUAAUCUGAUGCAUUGAGGAGGACCGUUAGCAUUCCAUUGUGC
rnacentral:lncRNA from 1 species